rnacentral:rRNA from 1 species
GUGGGGAAUAUUGGACAAUGGGCGCAAGCCUGAUCCAGCCAUGCCGCGUGAGUGAUGAAGGCCCUAGGGUUGUAAAGCUCUUUCACCGAUGAAGAUAAUGACUGUAGUCGGAGAAGAAGCCCCGGCUAACUUCGUGCCAGCAGCCGCGGUAAUACGAAGGGGGCUAGCGUUGUUCGGAAUUACUGGGCGUAAAGCGCACGUAGGCGGGUAUUUAAGUCAGGGGUGAAAUCCCAGAGCUCAACUCUGGAACUGCCUUUGAUACUGGGUACCUAGAGUAUGGAAGAGGUAAGUGGAAUUCCGAGUGUAGAGGUGAAAUUCGUAGAUAUUCGGAGGAACACCAGUGGCGAAGGCGGCUUACUGGUCCGGUACUGACGCUGAGGUGCGAAAGCGAGGGGAGCAAAAGGGAUUAGAAACCCCUGUAGUCC